rnacentral:rRNA from 1 species
CGCGCAGGCGGCCGACGUAGUCAGGCGUGAAAGCCCCGGGCUUAACCUGGGAAUUGCGUUUGAUACUCGUUGGCUAGAGUUCGGGAGAGGAUGGUGGAAUUCCCAGUGUAGAGGUGAAAUUCGUAGAUAUUGGGAAGAACACCGGUGGCGAAGGCGGCCAUCUGGACCGAAACUGACGCUGAGGCGCGAAAGCGUGGGGAGCAAACAGGAUUAGAUACCCUGGUAGUCCACGCCGUAAACGAUGUGUGCUAGACGUUGGUGGACCUAGUUCGCCAGUGUCGCAGCUAACGCGUUAAGCACACCGCCUGGGGAGUACGGCCGCAAGGUUAA